rnacentral:rRNA from 1 species
CCUGCAGCUCGAGUGGUGAUCACUAUUAUUGGGCCUAAAACGUCCGUAGCCUGUCUUAUAAAUGCCUGGGUAAAUCGUGCCGCUUAACGGUACGAAUUCCGGGUAGACUGUAAGACUUGAGACCGGGUGAGGCUAGAGGUACUCCUGGGGUAGAGGUGAAAUUCUGUAAUCCUAGGGGGACCACCAGUGGCGAAGGCGUCUAGCUAGAACGGGUCUGACGGUGAGGGACGAAGCCCUGGGGCGCAAACCGGAUUAGAUACCCGGGUAGUCCAGGGUGUAAACGCUGCUUGCUUGAUGUUAGUCGGGCUUCGAGCCCGAUUAGUGUCGGAGAGAAGUUGUUAAGCAAGCUGCCUGGGAAGUACGGUCGCAAGGCUGAAACUUAAAGGAAUUG